CUGCCGGCAAACCUAGUGUAUUCUGCUGCAGAACAAGGAGGUCCUCUCUAUGUACAUGUUGAGCUUUCUGAUAGGCCUUUUUGAGAGAUCGUCUGCUGUAACCACGCUGGAGGAAACGUUCCGGUUGUCACUGAACACCUCAUUAAUCUGAGUGAGCCACACCAACUCACGUGCUUUAAAAUCCAUCUCUGACCCAACUUUUUCAGCUGUGGAAACCACAGAAUAAAAGCCAAUCAGAGAGCAGCACUACUGAAAUAGAACUCCCAGGAGUGAGGGGCCGGUGCUGGACACUGUGUAGGGACGCGGGAAUGCAAAGUCAUACACAUGACUGUGACUGAUGCACUAUCUCCAGGACAUGGAGUAGCAUUUCCGGACCUACAGCAAGACGUUGGAUGAAGGCAUAGCCCCAGAAAUAACACUGGUCCUGUUCAUCAGUGAGGGGCCGGUGCUGGACACUGUGUAGGGACACGGGAAUGCAAAGUCAUGCACAUGACUGUGACUGAUGCACUAUUUCCAGGACAUGGAGUAGCAUUUCGGGACCUACAGCAAGACGUUGGAUGAAGGCACAGGCCUAGGAAUCAUGCACAUACACAGAAACAUUUGCCCAAAUUCUAGAGGUAACCUCCUUUAGUAUGCCCAGAGGAAGGGCCAUACAGUAGCCAUGGAUUCCCUACAGGUUUCCUCCCCUCUGGAGGUUUUUCCUGUCCUGAGUAUUAGUUACUGUACGCUCUUUGUGAGUGAUGGGAGGUUAAAAAAAAUCCCCUACACAAACAUUUUAAUAAAUAAUAAAUAAAGUUCCCCUUUUUUUAAACUGUU